GACGAACGCUGGCGGCGUGCUUAACACAUGCAAGUCGAACGGACGAGUGAGAUAAGUUUACUUAACUCACAAGUUAGUGGCGGACGGGUGAGUAACACGUGGAUAAUCUACCUGCAACACCGGGAUAACGCUGUGAAAACGGUGCUAAUACCGGAUACGUUCCCUUGUGCGCAUGUAUGAGGGAAGAAAGCUCAGGCGGUUGCAGAUGAGUCCGCGGCUGAUUAGCUAGUUGGUGAGGUAAAGGCUCACCAAGGCGAUGAUCAGUAGCCGGCCUGAGAGGGUGAACGGCCACACUGGGACUGAGACACGGCCCAGACUCCUACGGGAGGCAGCAGUGGGGAAUCUUCCGCAAUGGGCGCAAGCCUGACGGAGCAACGCCGCGUGGGUGAAGAAGGCCUGGUUGGUAAGUACCGUACGUCGUUACUUAGGUAAGGAAGGUACGUAGUAGACGGGUACCGAACGUAACGGAAGGAAGGACCGAACCGGACGUAACCGUAACGUACGUACCGACGACCGAGACCGACCGGAAAACCGAAACCGAACC
rnacentral:rRNA from 1 species